AAUGGGGGCUGGAGGGGAGCGCGGAUGCGGCUCCCGGGGUUUUUUUCCCCUUUUUUUUUAUGAAUGAAGGGCAGCGGCAGCUGCGCAUGCACCGCGCCCCCCGCCCGGGGCUGGAGGCACUCAUCCGCUUCCAGCCGUUCUGCUCGCGGGAAGAUAAAUGGAGGGGAGGAAUCCUGGGCAUGGCUGCACGGGAGCGGGCUCACAACGCACUGGGUGAUGCACAACAGCUUUUCCAGGCACGUUUCUCCCCCUCCCUCCACGAAUUUUAUUUCUGUAUGAAGUCUCCUCUGAUAAAUAUCCCCAACAGUGAUUUCAGACAAACACCCUAAAAUGGCUACAUCAGUGUUCCUCCUGCAGAGCAGUCAGAAGAGACACUCACAAAUAUACCCAGGAAAUGCACCUUGCUCUUCUCUUCCUGUCUUCUACUGUGGGACCGUCAUUUUAUCCACGUGUGGGAAUUUCCAUUACUGCUGGGGGAAAGGGACUUCUCCUCCUGAGUGAAGACUGGGAUCUGACUUGAAGCAAGACAAGAGAAGCAAAGCCUCUGUGUGAACAUCACAGGUUCUGCUGAGACUCUGGUCCCCUGACAGCAGCAGGACGUUGAAGGAUUUGAGCUGAGAUCUCUGAGCAGCCACAGCCCCCUGCUCUGACCCCUCCUUUCCAGCCCAGACACAGCUCCCUCAGCCCCACAUUUCCUCCAGGUCUGUACAGAGAUUUCCUUCCAUGAAGAAAUGGGAUGAAAGUGAGAAAAGGAGAUUUUUUGUAGAGAUGAGCAUGAGCUUCAUCCUGGAGAAUCUGCAGAGUCCAGAAAACCAGUUUGGAAAACAGCCGGCGUCUGAUUGGAACCCACAGGAGGCGGGAAGGGAGCCCAGAUGCUGUGCCAAAACCUGAAGGCAUCACCAGACCAAUCAAAGAAGGAUGCUGUGGAGGUUGGAGGCUGGGAAGUGACAAGUGCUGUCACAGAAGUGCCAUCACAGAUGUGACAUCAGGAAAUGCCACAGGUGGGGGCCAGAGUCCCACGGAUGUUCCAGGACUGAGUUGUGCUACUGGUACGUUGGGAUGGAGCCAGUACCACGCUGUGUGGGUUUGCUGUGGUGCCCUGGGAGAGACUGAGGGUGGCAGCUCUGCAGCACACACACUCACACACGUGUGCAUACACAGGGAAUCUCUAAACACUCGGCUCUGAACUCUUUAGUAUUUAAAAAGCUCUGCAAAAGCAGCUGCAAGAAGGGGAAAUUACUCCUGGAAAUGGAUCCCAGAUGCCUGCAGAGAGUAAAAACCUCUGGAAGCUGGAUUGCUAAAGAUGGAUCCCUGGAGAUGAAGAGUGUGGCUGUUGGUGAGAGCACCCCCAGCCACUGCACCAGCUCUGCUUCGUGCACAGACUCCAGCCCAGGCUCUCAGAUGGCCCAUUUGACACAGACUGGGAUUUUGGGAAGUGCUUUGUGGAGUGACAGCGCAGGCCAGCCCCCACCUAUUGCCAUGAGGUUGGAGAUGCAGCCUCAGAAGCUCUGUGGCUCCUGGUGGUUUCCAGAGCAGGUGAUGCCAAAUACAGACUCCAAAUCUUUGUUUAACACCAUUAUCAGGUGAAAUUAUUUCGUGGAGUGUCUGGUCCCUACAUUCAUUUUUCUCUCAAGACACCAUACUUCUCAUGCAGUCGUUCAGCUUCCUUGCCAGCUGCCAGCCUUUCCCUGAAGGAAAGCCCCCAGUCCCCCAGGGUGGCACACGGGGCUCUGCUCCUCCACUGAGCUUUAAUCAACGUCAGCACUGGGUCAUUUCCUAGAACCAAAGCUUUUCUUGAACCUUUAUCUGAGGGUAAAAGGCACCCAGAAGUCUCCUGGGUUGAUGGUGGGUGGCAUUGAGAAGCAAACACCCCAGAUCCAAGGGCUCUGAGCAGGAUCUCAGCAAACUCUGCAGCCAGGAGUGAGGAGCAGCCUGGAUUCUACCACAGUCACCUCAGGGUCUGAGGGCAUCUCCAGACAGCUUGACCAGAGCAGCUCAACUGCAAACAGCUUCUUCAUCAUCACUGAUUUCCUCUAAAGUUAUUUUUGCUAUUUUUAGGAAGACUCCAGUGCUUGCCAGCUGCCCUGAGUGCCCCAGCAAAGCUCGUGAACACUUUUCCACUCCCCUUGUCUCCCCGUGCUAAAUACUAUUGCUGUUCUCAGACUUUAUGGCCAUGGAGUUGUUCCUCUACAAACACCACCACUCAUGGCCCUAGCAUUAUACUUCUGGCAGGAACAUGUUAGGUUUUUAUGGGAAUUAAAAAGCUCGAGUGAGAGAGAGAACCUGAACCAAAGACAACAUAAAGGGCCUUAUUUCUUUGGGUAGGAGCCCAACAAUGCUAUUAAAUAGCUCAAAGCAGAACAGAAAGCUCUCUCAAAUAUGCAAGGCUGAGAGACACCGCAGUCCAGUGGUUACUGGGUGCCCCAUGGAGAAAGGAAAAUAUUCCAAGAGGAGAUGGCUGUGAGGAGCAUGGCUGCUGCUGAGCUCUGACCCCUCUGGUCACACCAGGACUGGAUCUGGAGCCUGUUUGUCCACGAGCAGCUCUGUUUGUGGCCCCUCUCUCCUCCAGCUCUGUGCACAGAGAAAACCCCACGAGGAGGAUCCCUGGGAGCUGCAGCCAGGGCACCUGCUCCAGGACAGCCCCAGCUCCAUCUGCAGCCUGGGGAGCUGAGGGCACCCAGCUCUUCCUCCUGAGUGGAGAUGUCAGCACCCCAAAGGACCAGAAAUAAUGUCUGAAGGUAAAAAAAGCCUUAAGAAGUGAGUUAAACCCGAAAGUUCAUUUGAUCCAGGUCAUGCUGAGCCGUGGUGGCUGCGCUGUGCUGCUCCCUGCAGCUCUGAGGGAGAGGAGCCCAGGGCAGGGCUGCAAUAGCUGUGAAAUUCUGAGAAGUUUGGGGUCCGUUCCAAACUUUAUCACUGGCCAAACCAGUGGCUUUGAUGUGAAAUCCCAAACUCUGCAAGCAUCUGACUGUGAGCAUGGAGGGCUGGUUGUGCUGCCAAUAUCAGGCUGUGAGCUCUGAAAUAACAGCACACACUGGGAGCCGUGGAGGGAGGGAGGGAGGGGAACCUCUGCUCUCUGCCUUAGGGCUGUGCAGACUUCACCACACAGCACUUGUUUGCAUGACAGAGGUGGUGUUGAUGGAAAUG